UACAGAGGUCCCGAGCGUUGUUCGGAUUCACUGGGCGUAAAGGGUGCGUAGGUGGUUUAGCAAGUUUGAUGUGAAAGCUCAGGGCUUAACCCUGAAAUGGCAUUGAAUACUGCUGAGCUGGAGGUUUGGAGGGGGGACUGGAAUUCUUGGUGUAGCAGUGAAAUGCGUAGAUAUCAAGAGGAACACCAGUGGCGAAGGCGAGUCCCUGGACAACACCUGACACUGAGGCACGAAAGCUAGGGGAGCAAACAGG
rnacentral:rRNA from 1 species